UGGUAUGCAGAAAAUAUGUUGUGAAACAAGUGCUUUGAAUUAGGACAAAUGCAAAGGCUUAGGGCUGAUUAAUAGCUACUGCAGUCAAAGACUUCUGAGACCAGGUCCUUUCUGUCCCCUUGAGGGUCCCCCGGGGGGAAGGGGUGGCCCCGUGUCCUCACCAGGUGACACUGUCCUGUGUCCCUGUCCCCAGAAGGUCCCUUUUGUCCCCAAACCCCCCCCCCCGACCCGAGGGACUGUCCCUUGUGGACGCAGCAGAUUUAAUGAUUUGGGGACAAAACGCGCACACGGGGGGACACGUCCCCCACCUUGGGGACACGCCAGGCCCCCAGGGGUGGUGGCACGUGGAGGAAGGUGGCACUUCUGGGGGGGUUGGUGGCACUUUUGGGGACAGAGGAGCACCACGGGACAGUGGCACCUUGGGGACACGGUGGCCGUUGUGGGGUGGUGGCACCGUGGGGACGCGGUGACACUGGGAGGUGGUGGCACUUUGGCAAGACGGGGGCUCCAGGGGGUGGUGGCACCGUGGGGACAGGGCUCCAGGGGGUGGUGGCACCAUGGGGACAGGGUUCCAGGGGUUGGUGGCACCAUAGGGACAGGGCUCCAGGGGGUUGGUGGCACCUUGGGGACAGGGUUCCAAGGGGUUGGUGGCACCAUGGGGACAGGGCUCCAAGGGGUUGGUGGCACCAUGGGGACGGGGCUCCAAGGGGUUGGUGGCAACGUGGGGACGGGGCUCCAAGGGGUUGGUGGCAACGUGGGGACAGGGCUCCAAGGGGUUGGUGGCAACGUGGGGACGGGGCUCCAAGGGGUUGGUGGCACCAUGGGGACGGGGCUCCAGGGGUUGGUGGCACCAUGGGGACGGGGCUCCAAGGGGUUGGUGGCACCGUGGGGACAGGGCUCCAGGGGGUGGUGGCAUCUGGCAGGCAGGGUGACACGCUGGCACCGUGGGGACACGGUGUUGCUGGGAGGUGGUGGCACUUUGGUGAGAUGGGGGCUCCAGGGGUUGGUGGCACCGUGGGGACGGGGCUCCAAGGGGUUGGUGGCACCGUGGGGACAGGGCUCCAGGGGGUGGUGGCAUCUGGCAGGCAGGGUGACACACUGGCACCGUGGGGACGCGGUGUUGCUGGGAGGUGGUGGCACUUUGGUGAGAUGGGGGCUCCAGGGGUUGGUGGCACCAUGGGGACAGGGCUCCAAGGGGUUGGUGGCACCAUGGGGAUGGGGCUCCAAGGGGUUGGUGGCACCAUGGGGACGGGACUCCAGGGGGUUGGUGGCACCAUGAGGAUGGGGCUCCAGGGGUUGGUGGCACCUUGGGGACGGGGCUCCAAGGGGUUGGUGGCACCAUGGGGACAGGGCUCCAAGGGGUUGGUGGCACCGUGGGGACGGGGCUCCAAGGGGUUGGUGGCACCAUGGGGACAGGGCUCCAAGGGGUUGGUGGCACCGUGGGGACAGGGCUCCAGGGGGUGGUGGCAUCUGGCAGGCAGGGUGACACACUGGCACCGUGGGGACGCGGUGUUGCUGGGAGGUGGUGGCACUUUGGUGAGAUGGGGGCUCCAGGGGUUGGUGGCACCAUGGGGACAGGGCUCCAAGGGGUUGGUGGCACCAUGGGGACAGGGCUCCAAGGGGGUGGUGGCACCAUGGGGACGGGGCUCCAAGGGGUUGGUGGCACCGUGGGGACAGGGCUCCAGGGGGUGGUGGCACCUGUCAGGCAGGUGGAAGUGGCACUUCGGGGACACGGUGGCCCUGGCUCACGCCUGGCACUCGGACUUCUUCUGGGCAGCCUGUGGGGACAGAU
rnacentral:lncRNA from 1 species